rnacentral:tRNA from 1 species
GGGCGGGUAACUCAAAUCGGUAGAGUAAUCGGAUGAUAGCCGAUAUGUUACAGGUUCGAAUCCUGUCCCGCCUACCA